rnacentral:misc_RNA from 1 species
UACGUAGGGUGCGAGCGUUGUCCGGAAUUAUUGGGCGUAAAGCGCACGUAGGCGGGCAUUUAAGUCAGGGGUGAAAUCCCGAGGCUCAACCUCGGAACUGCCUUUGAUACUGGGUGCCUCGAGUUCGGGAGAGGUGAGUGGAAUUGCGAGUGUAGAGGUGAAAUUCGUAGAUAUUCGCAAGAACACCAGUGGCGAAGGCGGCUCACUGGCCCGAAACUGACGCUGAGGUGCGAAAGCGUGGGGAGCAAACAGG